ACUCAAAGGAAUUGACGGGGACUCGCACAAGCACUGGAGCAUGUGGUUUAAUCCGAUACAACGCGUAGAACCUUACCAAGGCUUGACAUGUAGUGCAAAACUAGGGAAACCUAGCGGAGGUUAUCAUUACACAGGUGCUGCAUGGCCGUCGUCAGUUCGUGCCGUGAGGUGUAUGGUUAAGUCCUAUAACGAACGCAACCCUUGGGCUUAGUUACCAGCAUUCAGUUGGGGACUCUAAGCCGACUGCCUGAGUAAUCAGGAGGAAGGAAAGGAUGACGUCUGGUCGUCAUGGCCCUUAUGUCUUGGGCGACACACGUGCUACAAUGGUUAAUACAAAGGGUUGCCAACCCGCGAGGGGGAGCUAAUCUCAAAAAAUUAACCUCAGUUCGGAUUGGAGGCUGAAACUCGCCUCCAUGAAGUUGGAAUUGCUAGUAAUCGCAAAUCAGCCAUGUUGCGGUGAAUACGUUCUCGAGUCUUGUACACACCGCCCGU
rnacentral:rRNA from 1 species